AAAAGCCCCUGGAUCUGUCACCGCAUCUCAGUCUCAAAACAUAGUGAGUGCUGCACCAAAUGCCAGCCAUGAAAUUGAGCUGCUGAAAUUGCAACUGGAGGCUGAGAAGGAUAAAGGGAACCUCAGAGAAGAAACUAUAAAAAAAAACCUCAAACAAGACAAAGAACAUCUCCAGUCACGAUUGUCAAAGAAAGAAGAAUUAAUUCAGGAGCUGAUCCGCUCAAAAAUGGAACAGAUUCCUGGUCCAAGUAACUACCUUGAAACGAAAGUGAAAGCCCACCCAAAGCAUCAGAUGCCUGAAAAGCCAGAGGAGUCUGAUGGAGACACUUCCUCCUCUGUCUUGUCUGACUUAUCUGUGUUUUCAAAUGAUGGAUGCAAAAAUGUUAAAAUGUAUAUAUUGUCAUUAUUGGUAGCUUAAACAAUCAAUUCUCAGUUAAAACCCAUAAGACACAUUGAUUUCUGUGGACUGUAUAGACCAUAACAAAUUACAUCUCAAUUGGUAAUCAUCUAAGUCACAACACAUCAAUAUAAAGCUUUAUGAAGCAGUAUAGGCCCUUUAGCAGACAGAACACAAAGGAUGAGCAGUCAGAGUUUAUGAAUGGACUCUAUGAUUGUUGUUGAUGAGGGGUCUCUAAAGAUGUCCACCAGAUUUUUUGACUUUGGUAUAAAGCACUGACGAGUGAGUGAGUCACUUAUAAAUUACCAUUUUGCUUCAUAAAACAGUGCAUUUUUUUCUGUUUUCCUAACCCUAACCCUUGUGUUAAGUUACAUUCUUGAUUAAGUCUUGUUGAAAUUUGCCUUUUUUCAAUUAUUUGACUUUAAAAAGAUAAGUAAUCCAAAAAUAACAGAAAAUAAUUACAAAAUUUCAGUAUAGUAAUUCUUUGUAUUAGGUUCCAGCUACAAUUUUUUUUUUUACAUUUUUUUCCCAACCUGUUUAUGGAGGAAUGGAUACUUU